rnacentral:rRNA from 1 species
CUUGGCGUUGGUUGUCCAAGUUUAAGGUNNNAGGCUGAAAUCUUAGGUAAAUCCGGGUUUCAAGGCCGAGAGCUGAUGACGAGUCGUCUUUUAGAUGACGAAGUGGUUGGUGCCAUGCUUCAAGAAAAGCUGCUAAGCUUCAGGUAACCAGAACCGUACCCCAAACCGACAGGUGGUCGGGUAGAGGAUACCAAGGCGCUUGAGAGAACUCGGGUGAAAGAACUAGGCAAAAUGGCACCGNAACUUCGGGAGAAGGUGCGCCGGCUAAGGGUGAAGGAUUUACUCCGUAAGCUCUGGCUGGUCGAAGAUACCAGGCCGCUGCGACUGUUUNUUAAAACACAGCACUCUGCAAACACGAAAGUGGACGUAUAGGUGUGACGCCUGCCCGGUGCCGGAAGGUUAAUUGAUGGGGUUAGCGCAAGCGAAGCUCUUGAUCGAAGCCCCGGUAAAGCGGCCGUAACGAUAACGGUCCUAAGGUAGCGAAAUUCCUUGUCGGGUAAGUUCCGACCUGCACGAAUGGCGUAACGAUGGCGGCGGCGCUGUUCCACCGAGACUCAGUGAAAUUGAAAUCGCUGUGAAGAUGCAGUGUAUCCGCGGCUAGACGGAAAGACCCCGUGAACCUUUACUGUAGCUUGCACCGGACUUUGAGCCUGCUUGNAGGAUAGGUGGGAGGCUUUGAAGCGUGGACGCCAGUUCGCGUGGAGCCAUCCUUGAAAUACCACCCUGGCAUGCUUGAGGUUCUAACUCUGGUCCGUAAUCCGGAUCGAGACAGUGUAUGGUGGGCAGUUUGACUGGGCGGUCUCCUCCUAAAGAGNAACGGAGGAGUACGAAGGUGCGCUCAGACCGGUCGGAAAUCGGUCGCAGAGUAUAAAGGCAAAAGCGCGCUUGACUGCGAGACAACACGUCGAGCAGGUACGAAAAGUAGGUCUUAGUGAUCCGGUGGUUCUGUAUGGAAGGGCCAUCGCUCAACGGAUAAAAGGUACUCCCGCGGAUAACAGGCUGAUACCGCCCAAGAGUUCAUAUCGACGGCGGUGUUUGGCACCUCGAUGUCGGCUCAUCACAUCCUGGGGAAGCCGGUCCCAAGGGUAUGGCUGUUCGCCAUUAGUGGUACGCGAGCUGGGUUUAGAACGUCGUGAGACAGUUCGGUCCCUAUCUGCCGUGGACGUUUGAGAUNGAGAGGCUGCUCCUAGUACGAGANCCGGAGUGGACGAACCUCUGGUGUUCAGUUGUCACGCCAGUGGCAUUGCCGGGUAGCUAUGUUCGGAAAAGAUAACCGCUGAAAGCAUCUAAGCGAAACUUGCCUCAAGAUGAGAUCUCACUGGGAACUUGAUUCCCUGAAGGGCCGUCGAAGACUGCGACGUUGAUAGGCUGGGUGUAAGCGUUGUGAGGCGCUGAGCUAACCAGUACUAAUUGCCCGUGAGG